GAUGAACGCUGGUGGCGUGCCUAAUACAUGCAAGUCGAGCGAAUGGAUUAAGAGCUUGCUCUUAUGAAGUUAGCGGCGGACGGGUGAGUAACACGUGGGUAACCUGCCCAUAAGACUGGGAUAACUCCGGGAAACCGGGGCUAAUACCGGAUAACAUUUUGAACCGCAUGGUUCGAAAUUGAAAGGCGGCUUCGGCUGUCACUUAUGGAUGGACCCGCGUCGCAUUAGCUAGUUGGUGAGGUAACGGCUCACCAAGGCAACGAUGCGUAGCCGACCUGAGAGGUUGAACGGCCACACUGGGACGGAGACACGGCCCAGACGCCUACGGGAGGCAGCAGUAGGGAAUCUUCCGCAAUGGACGAAAGUCUGACGGAGCAACGCCGCGUGAGUGAUGAAGGCUUUCGGGUCGUAAAACUCUGUUGUUAGGGAAGAACAAGUGCUAGUUGAAUAAGCUGGCACCUUGACGGUACCUAACCAGAAAGCCACGGCUAACUACGUGCCAGCCGCCGCGGUAA
rnacentral:rRNA from 1 species